GCAGUAUUUGCUAACUUGACUGGAAAUAUGCAAACACAUAGUGAAGAGAUCAUUUGAGUUCUGUUACAAAGAUAAUUUAGUUCUCAGUAUUGUACUUUACCUCAGCACACAAUCACGUGUUUUUCUAAUCGUCACAUAUCAAUUAGAAGUGUUAAUGUAGAGUUGUGGCAGCAGAUGGGACUUGGAGCUUGUUUGAAUGAUGCAGAUGAACAUUUUGACAGUACUGAUGCAGGCUCAUAGAAACUGAGCAGUGUCAAUAGUUUCUAUACUUGGACCUUACAUACCAAGGCAGAACGGCUGAGCUGGGUGAGCAGAUGAGUAGAGCCAAGCGGAGCAGAGGGCAUGAGGUGUCAUCUGUAACAGGAAUAAGAAGCAAGGCUUGUGACUGAAACUCAGCAGUGAAUUUGAAAGAUUUAUAUUUUUAAAUAUGUACAAUUGUUUAAUUGAUGGGCAGCACGGUGGUUAGCACUGUUGCCGCACAGCAAGAAGGUCCUGAGUUCAAUUCCACCAUCAGGCCGGGGUCUUUCUGUGUGGAGUUUGCAUGCUCUCCCCGUGUUUGCGUGGGUUCCCUCCGGGUUCCAGCUUCCUCCCACCGUCCAAAGACAUGCAGCUUGUGGGGAUAGGUUAAUUGGAUAAUCCAAAUUACCACUAGGUGUGAAUGUGCGAGUGAAUGUGAGUGCGAAUGGUUGUCUGUCCCUGUGUGUUGGCCCUGCGACAGACUGGCGACCUGUCCAGGGUGUACCCCGCCUUGCGCCCUAUGACAGCUGGGAUAGGCUCCAGCGCCCCCCGCGACCCUGAAAAGGAUAAGCGGAAGCGAAUGGAUGGAUGGAUGUUUAAUUGAUGAUUAAAAAAUGGGAAGAUUAAUCACCAAAACGAGAAAACCUAAUCUGACUGAUGACAGUGCCCAAAGUAAUAUUCUGAUCUUAGACCAGCAGAUAACCUCACCAAAUAAUAAUUAACAACAUGAGAAAUACUAAUAGUUUAGAAAAUAGCUUUUGAGAUUUGGAAAAUGUUUCAGUUUAUUAAAAUGCAAUCACUUAAUUUUUUUUUUAAAUCUACUUGUUGGUUUAUCCAGGGACAGAUUCACUGCUAAAGCAUAAUGAUAAUUGUUCCAUUGUUAGUGCCUACAAGACAUCAGCGUACUCAGUGUGAUAUAGGUAUUAUUCUUUUUGGAUAGUUUUAAACAUGUUUUUCCAAAAUAAAAGUAAAAGUAAUGAGCACAGCUGGGAUUGAAACCACAAACUUCUUUUUAAAUAAAUAAACACGUCAGAGGUGAAGUCUAAGUAAAGUAAGAUCCACUUCUUCUUUUUUUUCUAUUUUCCCAUUUUGUGCAGAUUUGUAAUGCACGUCGUGAUGUGAUUACUGAAUUUAGUACAGUAACUCGUUACAUUACUGUGUUGCUGAACAAUGUAACACACUGACAAAUAGCUAAGCAUAACAAAUGUUAAUGAAAUCUGUUUAUAUUUUUUAUGUCUGAAAGAAAAAGAAAAUAUCAGCCUAUAUAUCAAAUUUUUAAAUCAACAAAUAUCGGCAUCGCUCUUAAAAAUAUCUGGGAGGGGAGGUUUUACAGGGAGUUUUACAAUCCCUACACUCCUGUAUCCUGCCUUCUCUGGAAAUCAUUUUCUCAUUUUCUUUGUCUGCUCGUGGAAAUUGUUUGUUGGAAUUAAUGUAGCGUUCAGGUGAUCUCCUGAACAUAACACAAUAUUUUGACUUUAGUUGACCUCUGUAAAUGAGGAAGAUUUGUGACAUACAGCAUCUCCAGUUCAGUUUUGUAUGUGAAUUUUGUAAAGCUUAAACUGCCUUGGAGAGUAAAUCACCAUGAAAGGUGAUUCUCAGUUCCCAGUUCAUUCCAACACAUUUAGGACUUAUUUAAAGCCAUGAAGGCAGAAUUUAAAAAAAGCAAAGUUACUGGUUUGGUUUUGCCCCUUCUCCAACACGCCAUACUCUGAUUUAAAUUGGAAUAACCGUGAUUGUUGCAUUGUUAUGAUCUUUUCUCUGAUCUACCAGCAGAUGAGUAUAACACGAAGAGCCUGUUUGAUUUCCAUUUCCAGACAAUCAUUGAAUGCCAAAAAGUUGUGUUUUUUUGUUUUUUGUCUAACACAAAAUGAUCUUUAGAUGGGAACACCACAGGCGUGUAACAAGAACAAAUACUGACACACUACAACGACUUACUCUGGUGCGAGUGUUUUUUGUUUCCUCUUGUAAAAUCAAAUGUUAAUUGUUUUAACCCGUACAUGUAGACUUAUAACUCUACUUUGUGUGUCACAGCCGAUUAUCUUGUGGUGUUUUUUGUUGUUGUUGUUUUUCCAGUUUGGGUGCAGAUGUGACUCAACAGCUGGUUGUUAAAUUCUAGUGAUUUGUGCCAACUGAAUGUCAACAUAGCUACUGAUAACCACAACCUGUGUCUGGCCUGUAGUGACGAUGAUGAUGCGUCUGUAACAUCAGAGUCUACAAUGUUGAUAACACAUUGAUUUGUGAUCAUUAGUUUUGGUUUAAUGUCCCAGACUGAUGUAUUUUUGUGCUUGGAGUGUUGUUUGGAUUGAUAUUAAAGAAUUUUCCCCCUCAAACUGAGUUUUUUUGUUUUUUUUGUUUUUUUUUUAGGGGGAUAUUUAACAUUUGCUGGUCAGCAUGAUGUCGGUGCAGAGUUAUAAAAACCUAAACAGUGAAUUGAAGAGCUAUACCUGCUUAUGAAAAGCUAAUUUUGGUCUCAAACACGUGUGAUGUGCAAACCUGAUGAAAACGGACUCAAAUCUAAACUAUUUACAUAUUCA
ensembl:lncRNA